rnacentral:lncRNA from 1 species
UGGAAACGGUCCAGGAGCUGAUCCCCCUGGCCAAGGAGAUGAUGGCCCAGAAGCGCAAGGGGAAGAUGGUGAAGCUGUACGUGCUGGGCAGCGUGCUGGCCCUCUUCGGCGUGGUGCUCGGCCUGAUGGAGACUGUGUGCAGCCCCUUCACGGCCGCCAGACGUCUGCGGGACCAGGAGGCAGCCGUGGCGGAGCUGCAGGCCGCCCUGGAGCGACAGGCUCUCCAGAAGCAAGCCCUGCAGGAGAAAGGCAAGCAGCAGGACACGGUCCUCGGCGGCCGGGCCCUGUCCAACCGGCAGCACGCCUCC